UACGGAGGGUGCAAGCGAUAUCCGGAAUCACUGGGUUUAAAGGGUGCGUAGGCGGCUUGAUAAGGCAGGGGUGAAAGCCCGCAGCUUAACUGCGGAACUGCCUUUGAUACUGUCGAGCUUGAAAGAGGUUGAGGUCAGCGGAACGUGACAUGUAGCGGUGAAAUGCAUAGAUAUGUCACAGAACACCGAUUGCGAAGGCAGCUGGCUGGACCUACUUUGACGCUGAGGCACGAAAGCGUGGGCAGAUAACAGG
rnacentral:rRNA from 1 species